rnacentral:rRNA from 1 species
AUUGAACGCUGGCGGCAUGCCUAACACAUGCAAGUCGAACGGCAGCACGGGAGCUUGCUCCUGGUGGCGAGUGGCGGACGGGUGAGUAAUGCAUAGGAAUCUGCCCAGUAGCGGGGGACAACUUGGGGAAACUCAAGCUAAUACCGCAUGCGCCCUACGGGGGAAAGCGGGGGACCUUCGGGCCUCGCACUAUUGGAUGAGCCUAUGUCAGAUUAGCUUGUUGGUGGGGUAACGGCCUACCAAGGCGACGAUCUGUAGCUGGUCUGAGAGGACGAUCAGCCACACUGGGACUGAGACACGGCCCAGACUCCUACGGGAGGCAGCAGUGGGGAAUAUUGCACAAUGGGCGAAAGCCUGAUGCAGCAAUGCCGCGUGUGUGAAGAAGGCCUGCGGGUUGUAAAGCACUUUCAAUUGGGAAGAAAGGUUGCGUGUUAAUAGCACGUAGCUGUGACGUUACCUUUAGAAGAAGCACCGGCUAACUCCG